AUCCAGCUGACCAGUCCCAAAUAGGACGAAACGCGCGCCACACUGGAU
rnacentral:hammerhead_ribozyme from 1 species